rnacentral:rRNA from 1 species
CACACCGCCCGUCACACCAUGGGAGUUUGUUGCACCAGAAGCAGGUAGCUUAACCUCGGGAGGGCGCUGCCACGGUGUGGCCGAUGACUGGGGUG